rnacentral:rRNA from 1 species
GUCGAGAAUCUUUCACAAUGGGGGCAACCCUGAUGGAGCGACGCCGCGUGGAGGAUAAGGUCUUCGGAUUGUAAACUCCUGUCAUGCGUGAACAAGGUUGCUUGGUUAAUACCUGGGCAAAUUGAUGGUAACGCAAGAGGAAGAGACGGCUAACUCUGUGCCAGCAGCCGCGGUAAUACAGAGGUCUCAAGCGUUGUUCGGAAUCACUGGGCGUAAAGGGUGCGUAGGUGGCGUGGUAAGUCAGAUGUGAAAGCCCGGGGCUCAACCUCGGAACUGCAUCCGAUACUGCCAUGCUAGAGUACUGGAGAGGUGACUAGAAUUCUCGGUGUAGCAGUGAAAUGCGUAGAUAUCGAGAGGAAUACCAAAGGCGUAGGCAGGUCACUGGACAGUUACUGACACUGAGGCACGAAGGCCAGGGGAGCGAACGGGAUUAGAUACCACUGUAGUCC